rfam:Cucumis sativus cultivar 9930 chromosome 2, whole genome shotgun sequence.
AUCCCAGGCAAACUAUUUUUUGUGUUUUUCUGAUUCAUGGGAGGCAGAGAUCACAUGGUUAUUCGCUGAUAGUACAUCUUCUACUUGAAAGGGUUUGCUUUUAGUACAUAACCAUACAUUU